rnacentral:lncRNA from 1 species
UACAAUUUAAUGCCUAUUUUUGUCACAUAAGAGGCCAAAGAUUCCAGAUGGUUAACAUUUUAAUUGAAGUUAACAUGGAAGAUAAAUGAAACAAGCUUGACUGGUCAGUAGAAAUUAGGUUCUCUGCAAUUUUGAAGGUGAAGAGAAAAUUGAACUGUCACUAACAUGAGGACUUCAAAAGGAAUAGUGGGACAACCCAGGAGAGAAAGCGUGGGACUCCCAGAGAUGGAGGCUGAGGCAAUGUGUCCCAGCAUGUGAGCGGCAGGCUUGGAUGUGGAUUCCCUCCAUGUAGCAACAGCACGAACCAGCCCUAGACUUACUCUUUUUUUUUUCCCAACGGAUGACCUGGACAUUCUGAAGUUGCAUUAAUAGCAAGUUUAUAUUCCUAAUAUAAAUACAUCUCCUCUGAGUCUUGGAAAAUGGGAUCAACUUAAUUGUCUCCACAUGUAUGCUCUGGGGAGCCUGGUCCUCACUGAACCCCAGUUACAAAACCUACAGCAAAUUUUUGUCCAGAUCACUGUCCAUCCAGCUUGCCGUGUUCUGGAGGAAGAUGUUUUGUUUUAUAGUUUGUGCUAUAGUCAUGAGAACAAGCAGCUUGUGUUCUAUAUCUUCUUACUUUUUGAAGCAAGUGUGCUGGGUACUGUUCACGCUGAUCAGCCCUAGGCCUGGGGGCCGUGCCCUUGCAGCCACUCUGAAGCCAGUGCCCAGCCUUGUGCCUGGGAGACCAGGGAGGCUGGGGAGGGAGGCCGGGGAAGCUGACUGCACGGCAGCUGAGGUCACAGCUGCUUGUGGAGAGAAGCUUCAAGUUGACAUCACUGUGAGCUAAAACCGUGGCUACCCUCCGGAUAACAAAGCAAGCUAUUGGCAGGAAGAAAGGGAAAAUUACGAAAAUUAAACAAGGCAAGCAUUAAUGCCAUAUUGCCUUUUCUCUCUGAAAUGCAAGAUUUGGCAAAGCCAAUUUCCACAUUUGGCCGUGGCCUCUCAGGCUUCUGUGCCAUCCCCGUGGAACGUGGUGCUGAUCCUGGGUCUCCCCUCUCCAGCCCUGGCUUUGUCCACUUUGCCCCUCCUGGGCUCCGCCUUGCCCUCCUCCUGCGGCUGCCAUGCCCGUCCUGAACUCAGCUCCUCUCUGACCCCACGCACGGCUCCUCUCUGACCCCACGCACGGCUCCUCUCUGACCCCACGCACGGCUCCUCUCUGACCCCACGCACGGCUCCUCUCUGACCCCACGUCCGGGGCUGCGUCCCGCCUCGGCUGCUCUCACUGCAGCCGUUUCUUCACAGGGUGAUCCUCACAGAAACACUCAAAGCCUUCUGUUACGUACAAAGGACCGCGUGUCAGUAAUCUACAGCCAUUUACCAGUUACCAAGAAAACACGGACGUUUCCACUAAAAAUCGCAAACGUUUCUUUCAAGCAAGGAGCGCCCUGCGCCAGAGGCUGUGGGAGGAGUGAGGAGUCUGGGUUCGUUCCAGCCGCAAUGCUCCCAAAUCCUGUGGUUUGCCCCGGUGUGCCACAGACUUUUCUGUUUCUGUGUGUGCCAUGGCUCUCUGAAGACAAGCCUGUGGGUCAUGAUUUCCCGCUCCCCCAGCUCGUGCUGCACGGCAGCUCAGCAGCAGGUCUGCUCCUCUGUGCUGAACUGAAGGGAGCCGAGUGCUCGCCCUCCGUCCGGGCCGGAGCUCAGAUCGUCCUGCCUCACGUACAAGAAGUAACCAGUUCUUUGGCCUUCAGACUCCCUGUUUCACUGGGGACAUGGAUGAAGCUGGAAACCAUCAUUCUCAG